GUAUAGUAGUGCGUGUGCACAACAAUAAUUUCAUUACAUUCGAGUUGGUGUAAAAAUCCUCUGCCGGCCAAGGCUAGCAAGAGGCCAAAGGUGCACAGGGGUAUUGGAUGAAAAGCUGCCAACGUGCACUUGCCAGAGCUGGCCAGCACUGAAGACAACAAUUCGCAAUCAAUAAUGAUCCUUCCGCAGGUUCACCUACGGAAA
rnacentral:misc_RNA from 1 species